CGGGACACGUGGUAUCCUGUCUGAAUAUGGGGGGACCAUCCUCCAAGGCUAAAUACUCCUGACUGACCGAUAGUGAACCAGUACCGUGAGGGAAAGGCGAAAAGAACCCCGGCGAGGGGAGUGAAAAAGAACCUGAAACCGUGUACGUACAAGCAGUGGGAGCACGCUUAGGCGUGUGACUGCGUACCUUUUGUAUAAUGGGUCAGCGACUUAUAUUCUGUAGCAAGGUUAACCGAAUAGGGGAGCCGAAGGGAAACCGAGUCUUAACUGGGCGUUAAGUUGCAGGGUAUAGACCCGAAACCCGGUGAUCUAGCCAUGGGCAGGUUGAAGGUUGGGUAACACUAACUGGAGGACCGAACCGACUAAUGUUGAAAAAUUAGCGGAUGACUUGUGGCUGGGGGUGAAAGGCCAAUCAAACCGGGAGAUAGCUGGUUCUCCCCGAAAGCUAUUUAGGUAGCGCCUCGUGAAUUCAUCUCCGGGGGUAGAGCACUGUUUCGGCAAGGGGGUCAUCCCGACUUACCAACCCGAUGCAAACUGCGAAUACCGGAGAAUGUUAUCACGGGAGACACACGGCGGGUGCUAACGUCCGUCGUGAAGAGGGAAACAACCCAGACCGCCAGCUAAGGUCCCAAAGUCAUGGUUAAGUGGGA
rnacentral:rRNA from 1 species